UUAAGCGACUAAGCGUACACGGUGGAUGCCCUGGCAGUCAGAGGCGAUGAAGGACGUGCUAAUCUGCGAUAAGCGUCGGUAAGGUGAUAUGAACCGUUAUAACCGGCGAUUUCCGAAUGGGGAAACCCAGUGUGAUUCGUCACACUAUCAUUAACUGAAUCCAUAGGUUAAUGAGGCGAACCGGGGGAACUGAAACAUCUAAGUACCCCGAGGAAAAGAAAUCAACCGAGAUUCCCCCAGUAGCGGCGAGCGAACGGGGAGCAGCCCAGAGCCUGAAUCAGUGUGUGUGUUAGUGGAAGCGUCUGGAAAGGCGCGCGAUACAGGGUGACAGCCCCGUACACAAAAAUGCACAUGCUGUGAGCUCGAUGAGUAGGGCGGGACACGUGGUAUCCUGUCUGAAUAUGGGGGGACCAUCCUCCAAGGCUAAAUACUCCUGACUGACCGAUAGUGAACCAGUACCGUGAGGGAAAGGCGAAAAGAACCCCGGCGAGGGGAGUGAAAAAGAACCUGAAACCGUGUACGUACAAGCAGUGGGAGCACGCUUCGGCGUGUGACUGCGUACCUUUUGUAUAAUGGGUCAGCGACUUAUAUUCUGUAGCAAGGUUAACCGAAUAGGGGAGCCGAAGGGAAACCGAGUCUUAACUGGGCGUUAAGUUGCAGGGUAUAGACCCGAAACCCGGUGAUCUAGCCAUGGGCAGGUUGAAGGUUGGGUAACACUAACUGGAGGACCGAACCGACUAAUGUUGAAAAAUUAGCGGAUGACUUGUGGCUGGGGGUGAAAGGCCAAUCAAACCGGGAGAUAGCUGGUUCUCCCCGAAAGCUAUUUAGGUAGCGCCUCGUGAAUUCAUCUCCGGGGGUAGAGCACUGUUUCGGCAAGGGGGUCAUCCCGACUUACCAACCCGAUGCAAACUGCGAAUACCGGAGAAUGUUAUCACGGGAGACACACGGCGGGUGCUAACGUCCGUCGUGAAGAGGGAAACAACCCAGACCGCCAGCUAAGGUCCCAAAGUCAUGGUUAAGUGGGAAACGAUGUGGGAAGGCCCAGACAGCCAGGAUGUUGGCUUAGAAGCAGCCAUCAUUUAAAGAAAGCGUAAUAGCUCACUGGUCGAGUCGGCCUGCGCGGAAGAUGUAACGGGGCUAAACCAUGCACCGAAGCUGCGGCAGCGACGCUGAUGCGUUGUUGGGUAGGGGAGCGUUCUGUAAGCCUGUGAAGGUGUGCUGUGAGGCAUGCUGGAGGUAUCAGAAGUGCGAAUGCUGACAUAAGUAACGAUAAAGCGGGUGAAAAGCCCGCUCGCCGGAAGACCAAGGGUUCCUGUCCAACGUUAAUCGGGGCAGGGUGAGUCGACCCCUAAGGCGAGGCCGAAAGGCGUAGUCGAUGGGAAACAGGUUAAUAUUCCUGUACUUGGUGUUACUGCGAAGGGGGGACGGAGAAGGCUAUGUUGGCCGGGCGACGGUUGUCCCGGUUUAAGCGUGUAGGCUGGUUUUCCAGGCAAAUCCGGAAAAUCAAGGCUGAGGCGUGAUGACGAGGCACUACGGUGCUGAAGCAACAAAUGCCCUGCUUCCAGGAAAAGCCUCUAAGCAUCAGGUAACAUCAAAUCGUACCCCAAACCGACACAGGUGGUCAGGUAGAGAAUACCAAGGCGCUUGAGAGAACUCGGGUGAAGGAACUAGGCAAAAUGGUGCCGUAACUUCGGGAGAAGGCACGCUGAUAUGUAGGUGAAGUCCCUCGCGGAUGGAGCUGAAAUCAGUCGAAGAUACCAGCUGGCUGCAACUGUUUAUUAAAAACACAGCACUGUGCAAACACGAAAGUGGACGUAUACGGUGUGACGCCUGCCCGGUGCCGGAAGGUUAAUUGAUGGGGUUAGCGCAAGCGAAGCUCUUGAUCGAAGCCCCGGUAAACGGCGGCCGUAACUAUAACGGUCCUAAGGUAGCGAAAUUCCUUGUCGGGUAAGUUCCGACCUGCACGAAUGGCGUAAUGAUGGCCAGGCUGUCUCCACCCGAGACUCAGUGAAAUUGAACUCGCUGUGAAGAUGCAGUGUACCCGCGGCAAGACGGAAAGACCCCGUGAACCUUUACUAUAGCUUGACACUGAACAUUGAGCCUUGAUGUGUAGGAUAGGUGGGAGGCUUUGAAGUGUGGACGCCAGUCUGCAUGGAGCCGACCUUGAAAUACCACCCUUUAAUGUUUGAUGUUCUAACGUUGACCCGUAAUCCGGGUUGCGGACAGUGUCUGGUGGGUAGUUUGACUGGGGCGGUCUCCUCCUAAAGAGUAACGGAGGAGCACGAAGGUUGGCUAAUCCUGGUCGGACAUCAGGAGGUUAGUGCAAUGGCAUAAGCCAGCUUGACUGCGAGCGUGACGGCGCGAGCAGGUGCGAAAGCAGGUCAUAGUGAUCCGGUGGUUCUGAAUGGAAGGGCCAUCGCUCAACGGAUAAAAGGUACUCCGGGGAUAACAGGCUGAUACCGCCCAAGAGUUCAUAUCGACGGCGGUGUUUGGCACCUCGAUGUCGGCUCAUCACAUCCUGGGGCUGAAGUAGGUCCCAAGGGUAUGGCUGUUCGCCAUUUAAAGUGGUACGCGAGCUGGGUUUAGAACGUCGUGAGACAGUUCGGUCCCUAUCUGCCGUGGGCGCUGGAGAACUGAGGGGGGCUGCUCCUAGUACGAGAGGACCGGAGUGGACGCAUCACUGGUGUUCGGGUUGUCAUGCCAAUGGCACUGCCCGGUAGCUAAAUGCGGAAGAGAUAAGUGCUGAAAGCAUCUAAGCACGAAACUUGCCCCGAGAUGAGUUCUCCCUGAC
rnacentral:rRNA from 1 species